GACGAACCGUGCGAACGUUGUUCGGAAUCACUGGGCUUAAAGGGCGCGUAGGCGGCAAUUCAAGUCCGGGGUGAAAGCCCCCAGCUCAACUGGGGAAGUGCCUUGGAAACUGGAGUGCUCGAGGGAGGUAGGGGUCGAGGGAACUUCUGGUGGAGCGGUGAAAUGCGUUGAUAUCAGAAGGAACGCCGGUGGCGAAAGCGCUCGACUGGACCUCUUCUGACGCUGAGGCGCGAAAGCUAGGGGAGCAAACGGG
rnacentral:rRNA from 1 species